rnacentral:rRNA from 1 species
AUUGAACGCUGGCGGAAUGCUUUACACAUGCAAGUCGAGCGGCAGCGCGGGGCAACCUGGCGGCGAGCGGCGAACGGGUGAGUAAUACAUCGGAACGUACCCAGUUGUGGGGGGAUAGCCCGGCGAAAGCCGGAUUAAUACCGCAUACGACCUGAGGGUGAAAGGGGGGGAUCGCAAGACCUCUCGCAGUUGGAGCGGCCGAUGGCGGAUUAGCUAGUUGGUGAGGUAAAGGCUCACCAAGGCGACGAUCCGUAGCUGGUCUGAGAGGACGACCAGCCACACUGGAACUGAGACACGGUCCAGACUCCUACGGGAGGCAGCAGUGGGGAAUUUUGGACAAUGGGGGGCAACCCUGAUCCAGCCAUUCCGCGUGAGUGAAGAAGGCCUCGGUUGUAAGACGUCUUUCGGUCAGGAACGAAACGGUAGGGUCCGUAAUACGAUCUGCUAAUGACGGUACCUCGAAGAAGAAGACACCGGCUAACUACGUAGCCAGCAGCCGCGGUAA